CUUUAUUACUGAGUCAGUAGUCCAAAUGAUCAGUAAUUCAAUUUUAAGGUCAUAUAAAUUAUCUCCUCUUGCAAAAUUGCAAAAAUCUUUUGGUUUUUAGAAAAUGAAGUCAUAUUUAGCAACUGGAAGAUGGCAUACUGUCUGCAACAUUUUCAAACGGCUGAUAGGAAAUGAAUGUCAUUACUUAUAUGUCUGUUCAAGUACAGUAUUAGCACCCUCAGAGC
rnacentral:lncRNA from 1 species